rnacentral:rRNA from 1 species
AACGUAGGAGGCGAGCGUUAUCCGGAUUUACUGGGUGUAAAGCGCAUGCAGGCGGUACAUUAAGUUGGGUGUGAAAGCUCCUGGCUCAACUGGGAGAGGUCGCUCAAGACUGAUGAACUGGAGCGUGGUAAGGGAAGGUGGAAUUCCGGGUGUAGUGGUGAAAUGCGUAGAUAUCCGGAGGAACACCAGUGGCGAAGGCGGCCUUCUGGACCACGACUGACGCUCAGAUGCGAAAGCUAGGGAAGCAAACGGG